UACGUAGGGGGCAAGCGUUGUCCGGAUUUAUUGGGCGUAAAGAGCGUGUAGGCGGCCAAGCAGGUCAGCUGUGAAAACUCGAGGCUCAACCUCGAGACGUCGGUUGAAACCGCUUGGCUAGAGUCCGGAAGAGGAGAGUGGAAUUCCCGGUGUAGCGGUGAAAUGCGCAGAUAUCGGGAAGAACACCCGUGGCGAAGGCGGCUCUCUGGGACGGUACUGACGCUGAGACGCGAAAGCGUGGGGAGCAAACAGGG
rnacentral:rRNA from 1 species